UUAACAAAGUCACUGAGCAUAAUGAGACUUAAUCCUUACGAGCAAAGGCUACUUCAAUAGAUUCAUAAAACUGAGCAGAACGAUUAGUUUUAGUACAAUUGUUAUCCCAUUGAUGACCAUAGAAGGAAACAGUACUGGAAGCU